CAGGGAGGGCGGCCCUCACCUUCUUGAGCCUGCGCUCGCGGGACGCCUGCGAGUCAGUCUCCGAGUACGGGGGCGGCGCGGGCGGGUAGUAGAGUAGCCGCCCAUCAUAGGGGAGGUCCCCGGACCUGGAGCCGUUGUCCCGAGGGUCCCGGGUACGGUGGUGGUGGGACCUGGGGUCGGCAGGAGGGCGCUCCCGAGACCUGAAGUCGUCGUAGUGGGGGUCCCGGGAGCGUGGGAAGUCCCUCGAGUCGUCUUGGUCAUAGAGGUCGUCCCGGCUGCGGCUCCGCGGGGGCAUGUAGGCCCGGCUUCUCCUCCCACCACUACUCGUGGGAGACCUGCUCCCUGACUCGGCGGUGCUCGGCGGGGUGAGGUCGUCCAGGGCGUCCACGGUGCCUGCUCCCUGGCGGGCUCCUGGUCCCAUCCCCUGGGACUCCGGGGGGAGUGGCCACCCCACUCCUCAUCCCGGAUCGGGGUGAGGGCAGGGCCCCGGGAAGGCCGAGAUCGCCAGUCGUCCUCGUGGAGGGAGGUGACUUCACUCAUGGCUGCAGGGAAGGGGGGUGUCACUGACUGCUCGAGGAGCCUGGGGUCCAGGGUUUGCACCAAGAGUCCCUGAGGCAGGUAUCAGGGAGACAUGCUUCACCACCCCCCCCCACCUUAAAAGCCCUCAGACCCCAAGGCUCCUGCUUACCCCGCUCCACACGGCCAUUGGGGGGGCCAGGUCGAGAAGGGUCGAAGUUGGCCAGCUCCUUCUCCAUGUAGUACAGGACCCUCAUGGAGUCGUCCUGCUGGCUGGCCUGAAUCCUGUAGCCACUGCGGACUUCUAGGGACAGGGUGGUGGUGGUCAGUUUGGGAGGAUGGAUCCUGGCCCACCCCUCUCCCUUACAGGCGCAUCCAACUUCGGGAUGAUGGAUUCUCACCAGAGGCCACACUGCUGUCCGUGUCCCGAAGCAGGGGUACAUAGGAGCCUUGGCCACCAGCUGGGGGAGAGUGGCUGUCAGUGGCCGCGCACCAGGAGCAGAGCCCCUCCUCGGCUCCCAAGACACUCUUCCUUCCAGUCCCUGCCCCUCAGUGUCCAGAUGCCCAGCACACCCCCACCAGCUGUUCCUGCUUCCCCCGGCCUCACCUGAGCUACUCCUGUCAACGGCUAACUUACUGGAAGAAGUGGCCACCCAUGGUCUGUGUGUUUACAGGGCAACAAAGCUGCCCUUUAUAUAAAGCCCAGAUGCUGGGUCCACCACUGUCCCCACAAGCCGAAAUCAAGUAUCCUCUUUGGCAGCCAAGCCCCUGUUCUAGAAAAAAUGAGUCAUCUGGGAGACGUUGGGUCCUGCCCACCUGGUCACCUUCCAGAUUGAGAUGCAGUGGCAGGAGCCUCGGGAGUUAACUUGCCUGCCCCGGCCAAGCAGCAAAGUGUCUCCUCUAGUGUUUCUAACUCAUGGACUGCACCCAUUUCUGCCCGCCCCACCAGGCUCUAGGCUUGACAGUUCAAGGUAAGAUCCUCCUCCCUUCCUUCCUCCCUAGGGCAAGAGGCUUGCAAAGUUCCUGGGCCCUAGGCAAGUGGCUUCCUCCCUGGGACCCCAACAGGAAAAUGGAGGAGAGAGAUGGGCCCAGAGAGGGUGCCUCACCUCUGAUUUGGUUUGGAAGCAGAAGACUAAGUGCACAGCCUAGAGGAAGCCCCUUCAUUAGCUCAGGCAGCCUGUAACUUUAUCAUCAGCAGUGGGACCUGCUGCCUCCUGAAGGGUGGGCGGAGGCUGUGGCAGCAGCAGAUGUAACAGGGCCCCUGCCAGGGAGUUAAUGGGGCCCUGGGUUGGGGUAACAGGGUCUCCGGAUGGAGGAAAUGUGGUGUGGGGACAGGGGAAUGUGGCAUUGGGACCAGCAUUUAGUCCUGGCCCUAGCCUGGUCUUAGUGGGUUCACUGCAAACUUGGUUGCAGCCCAUCUGUGAAAUGGACCUAACACUCACUCACUGAGCAAAAAGCUGUCAGCUGAACACAACAAGAGGGAGGGGAUGGGAUGGCCUGCAUAAGCCUC
rnacentral:lncRNA from 1 species